GGUGCGCCUAACAAUGCAAGUCGAGCGGUAGAAUUAUUAUUGAAUCUUCGGAUGAUUUAAUAAUUUGAGAGCGGCGAACGGGUGAGUAACACGUUGGUAUCUGCCCCCAAGUCAGGGAUAGCCAUUGGAAACGAUGAUUAAUACCGGAUAGCCUCUUCGGAGUAAAGAUUUAUUGCUUGGGGAGGAACCUGCGUUCUAUCAGCUAGUUGGUGAGGUAAAAGCUCACCAAGGCUAUGACGGAUACCUGGUCUGAGAGGAUGAUCAGGCACAAUGGAACUGAGACACGGUCCAUACUCCUACGGGAGGCAGCAGUGAGGAAUCUUCCACAAUGGGCGAAAGCCUGAUGGAGCGACACCGCGUGAAGGAUGAAGGCCUAACGGUUGUAAACUUCUUUUCUGAAGGAGCAUAAUGAGAGUACUUCAGGAAUAAGGGACGGCUAAAUACGUGCCAGCAGCCGCGGUAAUACGUAUGUCUCGAGCGUUACCCGGAAUCACUGGGUGUAAAGGGUUUGUAGGCGGCUUGUUAAGUUGGAUAUGAAAGACCGGAGCUCAACUCCGAGUUUGUGUUCAAAACUGGCAAGCUAGAAUCAAGGAGAGGUAAGCGGAAUUCUAAGUGUAGGGGUGCAAUCCGUAGAUACUUAGUGGAACACCAAAAGCG
rnacentral:rRNA from 1 species